AAGAAAGACCGGCUGUAUGCAAAAGCCCGGGAUGCAUUUGCUAGCCAAACUGGAACCAGUGCUUACUACCCUUUAAUUCAGCCAUAUUUAGGUGGAGCUCCAAUAAAGGACCUGGAACACUUAGCAGGAUCUAAUAUUGGCAUGGAUAUCGACACAUUUACUUCCUUAAAACCCAGCGAACUGCAGAACCUCAGUGUCCAGAAUGUGAAAAAUUUGCUUGGUGUAAACCUCCCUGAUCUAAAACGAGCUGAAAAUCAUCCAUCCGUGACCAGCUGGAUCCAGAGGCACUAUCAGUCGGAACUGGACAGCGUCCUGGGCAUCGGUCUGCUCGGGGGAAUGUCAGAGCCAGUCUCAGUGGCAACAGCUAGCAGUGGGACUUCCGCUACCCCUGAUACCAGCACCACCCCACCUACCACCACCUACAAUGUCACCAUCCCCCA